rnacentral:rRNA from 1 species
UGAGGAAUAUUGGUCAAUGGACGAGAGUCUGAACCAGCCAAGUAGCGUGCAGGAUGACGGCCCUAUGGGUUGUAAACUGCUUUUGUUUGGGAAUAAUCGACAUUACGUGUAAUGCUUUGCAUGUACCAUUCGAAUAAGGACCGGCUAAUUCCGUGCCAGCAGCCGCGGUAAUACGGAAGGUCCAGGCGUUAUCCGGAUUUAUUGGGUUUAAAGGGAGCGUAGGCGGUUGGUUAAGCGUGUUGUGAAAUGUAGAUGCUCAACAUCUGACUUGAAGCGCGAACUGGAUGACUUGAGUACGCACAACGUAGGCGGAAUUCAUGGUGUAGCGGUGAAAUGCUUAGAUAUCAUGAAGAACUCCGAUUGCGAAGGCAGCUUACGGGAGUGUUACUGACGCUUAAGCUCGAAGGUGCGGGUAUCGAACAGG